UUAGCACAAAAUUAUUUUCUCAAAAAACAACAACAAAAACACAUUACUAUAUAAUCAACAUUUAUUUUUCUUAACACAAUACCAUCAACAAUAAAACUUUACAAAAGAGGUGACGUGAAGCUACAGUGGAUGUAGAAAGUCUAAACACCCAUGUUCAAACAACAAGUUUUUUUGGUGUUAAAAAAAAAAGGGGGGGGGGGGGGGAAUUGAAAACUUUUUCCAGGCAUAAAAUCAGAAUUGGGCGCUAAAACCUGCAGUGUAAAUCUAGACCAAGAUAUUCUUCAGAAUACGUUUUACAACAUUGUACUUUUCUACAAAGCAAACAUUAAAGGCCAUUUAAGGACAUCUGCCUUCAACCAAACCUCGCCCUGUCUCCACUCCCUCUUAACAACACUGUCAUUCCUAGCAAAACAAACGCUCAGCUCGUCCGACCCGGCAAAUAAGGAGCGAGGGAAGGCGGUGUGCCAGCGAGCACACGCUCCACACUGACAUCACUCACCCUCCAGGGCCAAAAGAAAUCUCACAAAAGCGAGGAAGAAGAAGAAACACUUCCAGAUCUUUGCCAAGUGUUUCUGAAGGUUGCCUGAGCCUUGUAAAAUGUCUUUUCAUUGUUGCAGUCGGGGCACUUCUUCAUUGGGCAUAUUCUGUUCCACGUCACAAUUUGCGGCGUCAUGACUCAGAGAUUUGUCAGCUUCCCCGACACACGAAGAGGAGCAGAAUCAAACGAGGGUUGUUUUUGCGACGGACAACAACAUCAGCAGAAUAAAUCCAACCAUCCUGUCAACGGUGCCUUGACCUGUAACCACAUCCUCUUUCCAGAGACAAGAAGGCUUCACGCUGUCAGUCUAAAAUAGCCUCCUCCACUCUCUGUUCCUGUACCAGACAGCAGACUGACUGAAGAGUGUGUAUGUGGGGAGGGAAGCGGUUGUUUCAAGACAGCAUCAUCGUGUUAACCAUGUUAGGCCCCACAGGAUGGAGGAGAUAAGUGUAGAAGCUGUAAUUGUGCAAGUUGUUGGACAAGUGUGCCUCCUUUCCUCUUUUAAGCCUGCAACACACACAAACAAACCCCCAAAAAGCCACCGAAAAGAAGGAAACAAGAAGGAAAUAGCUAAAUGGGAAUGGUGUUUGAGUUUCUGAUCUCGCUGCACAGCUUGGUUUGGCAAAAUCUACCAUUUGUAGGAUUGCUAAGAACCAAGAGGCAACUAAGGCAGCUGAAGUGGCUAAGAGUGACUGACUGGAUUUCUUUUCAACUAAACCUAACUUGGUUCUGAGGCUGGAACAGAUUAACUGUAUUUCCAAUCAUUUCAAAUGGGGAAAAAUUACACAAAUUUGCAAACAUUUCGGUUCUGGUAUUCAUCAGAAAUGUUACUUGGUGUAUAACAGUUCCUGUACUCGGGGGUCCCACAGGGAAAAUACAGUGAUGCCUUUACUUGAUUUAAUUUGGUCUGUGGCCACACAAAUCAUUUGUAUCGCAAAUAAUCUUUUCUAAAUUCAAUAAAUACAAAUGCAAUUAAUCCUUUCUACCACCCCAUAAAUGUGACAAAAAUGUUGGUAAUGCAUUUUGCAAGAAAAAAAAACCCUCUAAAAGAUUGAAGAAAGCAGUUGGCCUCUAUUUUGAAGAACUGUUCACUCUCUACCAAACUGCUGCUUGUUGUUAAGUCCACGCAUUCAAAUUUUUAAUUUUUGCUCGCAAUGCAAGACAAAAUCUAAAUAAAUAAAAAAAUAAAGGAUUAGCAACAGCUCA